rnacentral:tRNA from 1 species
AGUAAGGUCAGCUAAUAAAGCUAUCGGGCCCAUACCCCGAAAA